UUUGGCACCAAAAUUUGAAAAAUCAACGGUAAUCAACAGUAUUUUUGACCUUUGUAAGCGUUUGUCUGACUAUAUCAUGCUUUGGUGAGCUUUUAUAUUGAUAUUGAAUACUAAAAGUGGUUAAUUUUAGAAGAAAUGAACACUAUACAUCCGUAAAUGUAAGUUUAUGAAUCUAUAGGAUUCGAUAGAGAUGAUGGAAUACAUGUAUGUUCAAAUUCAUCAAUUUUAAUUUGCUUCUUCCAACUUCGAAUUUUUAGAGGAUAAUUCGAAACCGUAUUGUGAUCCAGCCGGGAAAAUUAAUCUAUUUGUUGUGAAAGAACCAAUAUUCUACCAUGCAGAGUAGAAUGAAUUCGGAAAAGGCAGAAGCACUUUUGAAAUGGGUAAGCACAAGAUAAAA